ensembl:lncRNA
GUUCAUCUAAGAAGUUCAUCACUCUGCAGUAUUCUAGCAGAGAAUCUUCCUGAAAAUCUCUAUUCUUGUUGGAUGUCUCUCCUCAGUUUCUUAACUUCUUGGGGAUACCUUACCUGGCUUCCACUGACCUAUUCAGCUAGAUCCCAUGUACUGUCAGCACCAUGAAGAUAUCUCAGAGGUCUUAAAGCACUUGGAGUAGCUGAAGAUAAACCACUUGGCUGGGUGAAUUGGUGGCAGAAGCCAGGGCAGAGGUCAAGACAGAUCCAUCCAGAGGAGCUCCCCAAGGGCAGAAGACUCCUUCCAGAGUUUCUCAGGACGGUCAUUCCCACAGCACUCACAGAACUCACAGAACCCAAAGUUUUAACCUUGUUCCACUGCCCCUAUCUCCCAACUGGAGCACCCCAGGCAGUUCUGCCUGUGCUGGCUGAGUUAGGCUGUAGGGACAAUUCUUCUUUCCUUGUGAACUCUGAAAGUCUGCAGAAUAAGGGAUUUAUGGAGCGGAGGGUUCACAGUAAUUUCUGUUUCCACUAGAGCUAGAGAUGGUCUGACUGAGAUAAUUUCUUUAUGUCCUCAUUAUUUAUUUCACAUUUAUUCUCUUUCACAAAUAUACAUAUAUACAUAUAUAUAUAUAUAUAUGACAAGAAGGCAAUGCAUGCCAAAUGUAAUUCUGGCAAACUCUUGGGAAAGCAUCACAGUAUGACUUCAGAUCACUCCUAGCAUACAACACAACAAAGACAAAACCCCAUGAAGCACAGAAUAUCUUGGAGUUUCCAUAGACUUCAUCGCUUUGAAGUAUUAAGCCUGGGAUGAAGGGGCACAAGGCCAUGUAUCACUCGUGCACUAUCUCUUACAAUCUGAACUGGACGUGGCAAGUGUAGCCAAUAGCCAGGUCCCAUUCUUCUUUCAGAC